UAUUGUGCAUUAGGCUUACAAUUAUUUUGAACUAAAAAAUACCUACGACAUUAUUUUGCAGUGUAAUACAAUCAAAACCAAAAUGAUAAUAAAAAUACUAGCACCAUACAAAGAAUAAGUACCUACUAGAUAAAUAUAUUAUUAAAAUGAACUAUGAUUAGAGAACGAAAAUAGAUAAUUAGUUCGGUUGCCAAUCGAAUCACUUAUUAAUUUAAGAGGGAAGAUCCUAUAGUACUAAAGAGACAAGAGCAAUCUGAAUCUAACCUAUAUUACACUCAUAUCUUGAGCCAAGUUCUCUUGUGCUCUUUGCUCCUGUAAAAGAAAUUGUCUUAAUUUCGUUUUAAAUAAGGAUAGACUUUUUAAAUUUCUAAUAGGCGGUGGGAUGUUAUUCCAACAUUUGGAUGCCGAGUAACGAAAGCUCCCUCUAAAUGACGCCGAUCGAUGCUUCUCAAUAACCAUCUGAACAGAACAAUGCCGUGACCCACACGACCUAAGACUAGCCGUUCUAGAUAGUUUGUCAUAAAGGUAUUUUGGCUUUUCGAACUUCAAUACACCAAAAAGGAUACAAGCUAAAUGAAGUUUUCGCCGAUGUUUCAUUUUUAACAUUGAAUGCUUAUUCAAGAAAGGGGUGACAUGGUCUCUAUGUUUUAUAUUGAAACAAAAACGGGCACAUGCAUUCUGAACUCUCUGAAUCAAUUUUUUAGUUACAGAAACUAAACGUGGGCCAAAGACAACAUCUGUAUAAUUCAGCUUUGAGAGAACUAGACUUUCAACAAGACGGAUACGCAUCUCCUUUGACAGAUAAGGUCUCAUCCUAUAUAAUACUUUCAGCCUGUAAAAAGAGUUACUGACUAGGCUAGUGAUGUGAUCAUGGAAUCUCAGUUUGCUGUCGAGAAGAAGACCAAGAUUACGUGCUACAUAUGUACGUUCAAUGGGUUCACCCAUCAAGAUAAUGUCAUGUGAAGACUUUAAACUGCCCAGCUGUUUGUUGGUGCCACAAAUUAUGUAUUUUGAUUUCACCGGAUUAAGACAUAGACUGUUUUUCUGGGCCCACAACAUAAUACUAUUAAGGUCAUCAUUAAGCAACUGGACCGCAUUAUCUAUUUCACUUGGCUUACAAGAUAUAUAUAUUUGGGUGUCAUCAGCAUAAAAGUGGUAUUUGCAAUGUCUGAUAUGGCUUUUGAUGUCUGCUGUGUAUAAAAUAAAUAAUAUGGGGCCCAAAAUAGAACCUUGCGGUACUCCUUCUACAACCGGUGAAGUGUCAGAUGUCAAGGAGGAAGAACUGUUGUGGGACAGCUGUACACAUUGGUGACGCUCACAUAGGUAACCUGUAACCUGCUCGCAUACUACUUUCUCCAGUACCUUUGAGAGACAUGGCAAGAUACUUAUAGGUCUGAGAUCCUUAACCUCAGCAGGGUUAGGAACUUUAGACAGAGGCCUCACUACAGCUUGCUUCCAGCAAUCAGGAUAAACACCAGUAGUUAUAGAUGUAUUUAUAAUACAUUUAAUUGUGUCUAAAGAAUUAGGUAAAGACAAUAAAACCAUAUCUAAGCUGAUACCAUCACAUCCUACAGCUUUGGAUUUCAAUGAUUUUAUAAUUCUUAUCAAAGAGUCUGUGGAUAUUGUCUCAAGGUGAAAUAUAGCAUCAUUAAAUUUAUGGUAUUCAAAAAAGGUAAUGUAAGAAAGCUGUGUGUUAGGAACUGAUGGUGUCUUCAAGAAGUGCCUGUUAAUCAUAUUAGGGUCAUUAAAGUGCAAAGGGAGUUCACUUCCAAUUUUAGGUAAAAUUAUUUUUUUUAUAUUUUUCCAUAAUUGCUUAGGUUGUUUGAGUUUACUAUUUAUAUUUAAUUUAAAAUAUGCUACUUUUUCAUUGUAUAGCGCCUUGUUUACUAAUGUUUUUAAACUUUUAUAAUAUUCUUUUUUACUGUCAAGUUUUGUUCUGUGAUACUCCGCUAGUGCUCUGUCACGCAGUCUCAUCAUUAAUUUAAUAGAGUCUGUGACCCAAGGGUGGGAUUUCUUUUUAAUUCUAGCUGUUCUUAUUGGUGCAUGUAGAUUAAAAAGUGCAAGGAUUUGUGAAUUAAAAUUACCUACCAUUUCAUUGA